rnacentral:rRNA from 1 species
UGGCACCUACGGGGGGCAGCAGUGAGGAAUAUUGGUCAAUGGGCGAGAGCCUGAACCAGCCAAGUCGCGUGAGGGAAGACGGCCCUACGGGUUGUAAACCUCUUUUGUCAGGGAGCAAGAACGGAUACGUGUAUCCGAGCGAGAGUACCUGAAGAAAAAGCAUCGGCUAACUCCGUGCCAGCAGCCGCGGUAAUACGGAGGAUGCGAGCGUUAUCCGGAUUUAUUGGGUUUAAAGGGUGCGUAGGCGGAUUGAUAAGUUAGAGGUGAAAUGUCCGAGCUUAACUCGGGAACUGCCUCUAAUACUG